ACGCUCGACACCUACGGAGGCAGCAGUGGGGAAUAUUGCACAAUGGGGGAAACCCUGAUGCAGCGACGCCGCGUGAGUGAAGAAGUAUUUCGGUAUGUAAAGCUCUAUCAGCAGGGAAGAAGAUGACGGUACCUGAGUAAGAAGUCCCGGCUAACUACGUGCCGNNCGCGAGUAUNGCGGCGNGNGAGACG
rnacentral:rRNA from 1 species